GAUGAAGAACGCAGCGAAAUGCGAUACGUAAUGUGAAUUGCAAAUUCAGUGAAUCAUCGAGUCUUUGAACGCACAUUGCGCCCCCUGGUAUUCCGGGGGGCAUGCCUGUCCGAGCGUCAUUGCUGCCCUCAAGCACGGCUUGUGUGUUGGGCCCCGUCCUCCGAUCCCGGGGGACGGGCCCGAAAGGCAGCGGCGGCACCGCGUCCGGUCCUCGAGCGUAUGGGGCUUUGUCACCCGCUCUGUAGGCCCGGCCGGCGCUUGCCGAUCAACCCAAAUUUUUAUCCAGGUUGAACUCGGAUCAGGUAGGGAUACCCGCUGAACUUAAGCAUAUCAAUAAGCGGAGGA
rnacentral:misc_RNA from 1 species